rnacentral:sRNA from 1 species
UCUCUGAGAAGACAGAGAGAUGGCCAGGUGAUGCUGGGACAAAUACUGCCUUGCCUAAAGAGAUGCUGACUCUGGAAUUUGGUGCCUCUCCAGGGAUGAGUGGGUCACAGCCUACAAUCGGGACAGCUUUGAUACCACUCGGCAGAGGCUGGUGCUGGAGAUUGGGGACCCGGAAGGCCCCCUGCUGCCAUACCAAGCCGAGUUCCUCGUGCGCAGCCACGAUGUGGAGGAGGUGCUGCCCUCAACACCUGCCAGCCGCUUCCUCUCAGCCUUGGGGGGACUCUGGGAGCCCGGAGAGCUUCAGCUGCUCAACAUCACUUCUGCCUUGGACCGUGGGGGCCGUGUCCCCCUUCCCAUUGAGGGCCGAAAAGAAGGGCUGAAGAGAGACCUGGCUACCUCCGACAUCCAGAUGGUCCACCACUGCACCAUCCACGGGAACACAGAGGAGCUGCGGCAGAUGGCGGCCAGCCGCGAGGUGCCCCGGCCACUCUCCACCCUGCCCAUGUUCAAUGUGCGCACGGGCGAGCGGCUGCCUCCCCGCGUGGACAGCGCCCAGGUGCCCCUCAUUCUGGACCAGCACUGAGGGCCCAGCCAGUGGUUCCUGGUCCAGCCCUGACUUCAUCCUCCCUUCUCUGUCCACACCAUGAGCGGCACAUCCCACCUGCUGAUUCCAGCUCCUGGCCCGCCUGGAACCCAGGCUCUAAACAAGCAGGGAGAGGGGGUGGGGUGGGGUG